rnacentral:lncRNA from 1 species
CAGCUGCUGGCCACAGCCACAGCCACCGCAACCCAGGAGCCAAGCCAAGUCUGCGACCUACACCACAGCUCAUGGAAACCCCGCAUCCCCAACCCACUGAGUGAAGCCAGGGAUCAAACCCGCAACCUCGUGGUUACUAGUCUGAUUCGGGAUCACAAUGGGAACUCCAGCAUGAUACUUGUCAUUCAAGAAAAAGGUACAUUCAUACUCACCGCCAAUGUUUACAGGGCACCCACUCUAGUCAAGCCCUAGCCUUGGGGAGGAGGGAGCACGGAAGGGAACAAAACCAAGAAAAAAUAAAUCCCUGUCCUAAUGAGGUGUCUUUCUACACAGUCAAUUUUUGAGUCCAAAGGCAAAACAUAUUUUGGAUUUAACCUGAUUCUCCUGAAGUGAGAGACCAAUUUGACACAAAUCACAACCCAGUGUCAAAAGCAGGUUUGCUCCCCCUCCCUAACUAACAAAUUCUCCUAAAAACGGCAUUCAGGGGGAUUUUGCCACACUCAUGGCAGAGAAGGAGUUAAUUUUCUGGUUCUCUAAAUGUUUGAUGAUGCCUCAAAAAUCAUAAAUAAAUAUAUCCCCAAUAUUAUGAAUUUUUUUAAAAAAGCUAAAAAAAAAAACCUAUGGAAGUUCUAAUACAUCCACCUGUACCCAGUGGAUGGUCUACCCCACCCGGGGCAUAUGCACCCCAUUUUGGAGGCUACCCCUCAACCUCCUAAGCAGUGCCGCUGCCUCUCUGCCACUUGCUUGGCUAGAGUCCCUGUCAGUUCCUGACUUGGGGCAGAGUAAAUAUGAGGGCUAACUGGGACACCUGCCAUAGCCCGCCACGUGCAGGACGUGGGGUAACAAACCCCGCACACAGACUUUCCAUCCAGGGGGAGACAAAAAUACUCAGCACGGCCCCAUGAUGGAAAGAAGUGUGCUGGGGAGGGCAGGACAGCACCGGUCACAGGUCACCUCAACCUGGCCCAGCUCAGAAGGCAAGCGGACUGGCUCAGCUGUUCUGGACACCCCACCCCACCCCGCAGGAUAAAGGGAGGGCUCAUGGGAUACAGUCUGUCCCCAGAACAGCCCCUGCCUGCACUCAGAAGAGGCCUUGGAGUCCUCAGCCUUGACCUCUGACUCAUGUCAGAAGGGGGAAGGCAGUCUGGCACCACCAAGGGCACCCAGCCUGUUCCAGGCACUGGGCACACUCUCUGCCCCUCGGGGCCCUCCUCUGAGAGGUGGUUGGUUGGAUUGCUUGACAGGUGAGGUCCCUGCCCACUGCUCAGUCUGAGGCAUGUGGGAAGUUUGCCUGAGGCACAAGGCAAGUAACUGUCCUACAAAAGGAACCAUGGCUAGGUGAUCAUUUCACCCAUGGCAUAGAAUCAAGGUAGGAUUUUAGGUAGGAGUACCAGGUAAACAUAGGCAGCAGUGCAGUUAUGCAAGAGUAUCUGAAACUCGACACUGAUCUCCUUCCUGUGAAGCCUACAGCCACCUGCAGCUCCAACAGAACGAACUGCCCUGGGAGAGAACUUGGAUGCCCUCAUGCACGCCAAGUUCUACCCUGGGAAAGCAGAGGCUUUGGUCUGGAGAUUGUCAAUGCCUUGAUCCCGGCUAUAAGAUCUAAGCAUUGUAUGGGAUCAUAACAUACAGACCGAGAACUAUGAAAAGUACAUUCUUGUGACAUCUGCUAUGGGACAUCUGUCCAUCUGACUGUCCCCUGGCUCAAUUCAUCAUCAGAUAAUAUUUAAGUGCUUAGCAGCAGUGAGACCCUAUGCUCAUUGCUGCUGAAAAUGCAGAAAUGACAAUGACUAGGUCUAAAAGCACAGAGCUCAGAGUGCGGCUGGGGGCCUUUCUGGGGAAGCAAGACACACAGACACACAGAGGUGAGUGAAGGGCAGGGGCAGGGUGUCAGUCAAAAAACCGAGAAACUAGUAGAGCCAGACACUAACCAACUGGAAAAGAAGAGGCUGACCAUCAGAACAGGGUUCAAGAGAGCCUCUGGUGGGCCAGGAGUUAACCUUUCAGUUUCUGAAUCAUGGUUGGGGUGCCUGGGGUAGCAGCUACUUUCCAAGCAGAAUGAAUAUUUUCAGCGAGGAUUCCAGUGAGUGAUGUGGAGUCUGAGGAAGGCGAGGGUCACUCCAGAAAAAGCACCUCUGAGGAACGAGGGUGGGAAGAGGAAUGUCACUGCAGACAGAUGGGGGUGGGCAUGCAGGCCUGGGAGGCUUGUCCAGGACACAGGAGGUGGGCUGGGCAGAAGGGAGCGCUCACUA